UACGAAGGGGGCUAGCGUUGUUCGGAAUUACUGGGCGUAAAGCGCACGUAGGCGGAUAUUUAAGUCAGGGGUGAAAUCCCGGGGCUCAACCCCGGAACUGCCUUUGAUACUGGGUAUCUCGAGUCCGAGAGAGGUGAGUGAAUUCCAGUGUAGAGGUGAAAUUCGUAGAUAUCGGGAGGAACACCGGUGGCGAAGGCGGCACCUGGUCGAUACUGACGCUGAGACACGAAAGCGUGGGGAGCAAACAGG
rnacentral:rRNA from 1 species